GAAGAAAGGAUGUUGUCAAUGUGCCUUUAAGAAUGGAUGUUGUCCAUGUUUUGGGUGAAUGUUGUUUUAUGCCAGUCUGCCGCAAUUCAUGUAUCAAGUUCAAUUAUAUCUUCUUAGCUAUGUG